ACGAACGCUGGCGGCGUGCUUAACACAUGCAAGUCGAACGGAAAGGCCCUGCUUUUGUGGGGUGCUCGAGUGGCGAACGGGUGAGUAACACGUGAGUAACCUGCCCUUGACUUUGGGAUAACUUCAGGAAACUGGGUCUAAUACCGGAUAGGAUCUCCUGCUGCCUGGUGGGGGUUGGAAAGUUUCGGCGGUUGGGGAUGGACUCGCGGCUUAUCAGCUUGUUGGUGGGGUAGUGGCUUACCAAGGCUUUGACUGGUAGCCGGCCUGAGAGGGUGACCGGCCACAUUGGGACUGAGAUACGGACCAGACUCCUACGGUAGGCAGCAGUGGGGAAUAUUGCACAAUGGGCGGAAGCCUGAUGCAGAAACGCCGCGUGCGGGAUGAAGGCCUUCGGGUUGUAAACCGCUUUCGCCUGUGACGAAGCGUGAGUGACGGUAAUGGGUAAAGAAGCACCGGCUAACUACGUG
rnacentral:rRNA from 1 species